CCCAGACUCCUACGGGAGGCAGCAGUGGGGAAUAUUGGGCAAUGGGCGCAAGCCUGACCCAGCAACGCCGCGUGAAGGAAGAAGGCUUUCGGGUUGUAAACUUCUUUUCUCAGGGACGAAGAAAGUGACGGUACCUGAGGAAUAAGCCACGGCUAACUACGUGCCAGCAGCCGCGGUAAUACGUAGGGGGCGAGCGUUAUCCGGAUUCACUGGGUGUAAAGGGAGCGUAGACGGCCAAGCAAGCCAGGGGUGAAAGCCCGGGGCCCAACCCCGGGACUGCCCUUGGAACUGCUUGGCUGGAGUGCGGGAGGGGCAGGCGGAAUUCCUGGUGUAGCGGUGAAAUGCGUAGAUAUCAGGAGGAACACCGGCGGCGAAGGCGGCCUGCUGGACCGCGACUGACGUUGAGGCUCGAAGGCGUGGGGAGCAAACAGGAUUAGAUACCCGAGUA
rnacentral:rRNA from 1 species